rnacentral:tRNA from 1 species
GCGCCCGUAGCUCAGCUGGAUAGAGUGUCGGAUUCCGGUUCCGAAGGCCACAGGUUCGAAUCCUGUCGGGCGUACAA